GGCAUCAGAUGAGAACCCUGACUAUACAGUUGUGGCUACUGUUGCAGCAACCAUUCUUCGUAACCGGUGCAUGCACAUGUCAGCCUUGGCCUACCAGAUUGGUCUUAUCCUUCGUUUCUCUGGAACAUCACAAACAGGACUGGAAAUUCUGAAAGCUCAUGGUCUUACUGUCCACCCUACCCAGCUAACAGCCAAGGCAAAAGAAAUGAUCAUGAUCAUGAUCAUGACAAGACUCUUCUUGAAUGGAAGGGAAGUAUUGAGAAGCACAAAGACACAAUGCAGUGUUUAGAGAUUGUAAGGCAUUGUCUACUAA